UCGAACCGGUGCGCCUAGGCGCCAUAGAGCCCGGUUUGUGCCAUCGCCGGCGCUCGUUGGGUUUGUUUCUGCAGGCCUCCCCAAAAGAAAAUGGGAUGGUUUCUUCCCUGUUGUUAGUCCAGAGGUUGCUACUAGAAACCGAAAAAGGCGCAAGGUCAUACAUGAUAGGCAGCGUGGGCGCACACCAGAUGCUCCAUUUACUUCCCCCUUGGAGCCUUUGUGGGUUGGGUUUACAACAGAGGAGGUUGAUAUCUUAAAAG